AGAGUUUGAUCCUGGCUCAGAAUGAACGCUGGCGGCGUGCCUAACACAUGCAAGUCGAACGAGAAACUCCGGGCUUGCUCGGAGGAGUAAAGUGGCGCACGGGUGAGUAACGCGUGGGUAACCUGCCCCAGAAUCUGGGAUAACAUCGCGAAAGCGUUGCUAAUACCGGAUAUCGUCCUUAAAACUUUGGUUUUUGGGAUGAAAGAUGACCUCUCCGUGGAAGUUGUCGUUCAGGGAGGGGCCCGCGUACCAUUAGCUUGUUGGUAGGGUAAUGGCCUACCAAGGCUACGAUGGUUAGCUGGUCUGAGAGGAUGAUCAGCCACACUGGAACUGAAACACGGUCCAGACUCCUACGGGAGGCAGCAGUGAGGAAUUUUGCGCAAUGGGGGAAACCCUGACGCAGUAACGCCGCGUGAGUGAAGAAGGCUUUCGGGUCGUAAAGCUCUGUCGAAUGGGAAAAAACCCUAUCGAUGAAUAGUCGAUAGGUUUGAUGGUACCAUUAGAGGAAGCACCGGCUAACUCCGUGCCAGCAGCCGCGGUAAUACGGAGGGUGCGAGCGUUGUUCGGAAUUAUUGGGCGUAAAGAGCGUGUAGGCGGUUUGGUAAGUCAGAUGUGAAAGCCCUGGGCUCAACCCAGGAAGUGCAUUUGAUACUGCCUUCCUUGAGUAUGGGAGAGGAGAGUGGAAUUCCCAGUGUAGAGGUGAAAUUCGUAGAUAUUGGGAGGAACACCCGUGGCGAAAGCGACUCUCUGGACCAAUACUGACGCUGAGACGCGAAAGCGUGGGGAGCAAACAGGAUUAGAUACCCUGGUAGUCCACGCCGUAAACGAUGAGAACUAGGUGUAGCGGGUAUUGACCCCUGCUGUGCCGGAGUUAACGCAUUAAGUUCUCCGCCUGGGGAGUACGCCGCAAGGCUAAACUCAAAGGAAUUGACGGGGCCGCACAAGCGGUGGAGCAUGUGGUUUAAUCGACGCACGCGAGACUUACCUGGAUUGACAUCCUCUGACAGUCCCGGAAACGGGAUCUUUCCGACUUGUCGAACAGAUGACAGUGCUGCAUGCUGUCGUCAGCUCUGUCUGGGAUGUGGUAGUCCGCACGAGCCCACCCUGUCUUUAGUGCAUAUAGUAGACUCUAAGAUUCUGCC
rnacentral:rRNA from 1 species